CAAGAUAUAAUUUAAGCAGAAUAUUAGCUUUGGGGGUUAAUUGUGGAGGUUAAAUUCCUUCUAUCUUGA
rnacentral:tRNA from 1 species